rnacentral:rRNA from 1 species
GAUGAACGCUGGCGGCGUGCCUAAUACAUGCAAGUCGAGCGAGAAGCUUGGAAAUGACGCUUCGGUUGAUUUUCCAAGCGGACAGCGGCGGACGGGUGAGUAACGCGUAGGCAACCUGCCCCUGACAGAGGGAUAGCCAUUGGAAACGAUGAUUAAAACCUCAUGACACCGUAGUAGCACAUGCUACAUCGGUCAAAGAUUUAUCGGUCAGGGAUGGGCCUGCGUCUGAUUAACUGGUUGGUGAGGUAACGGCUCACCAAGGUGACGAUCAGUAGCCGACCUGAGAGGGUGAUCGGCCACAUUGGAACUGAGACACGGUCCAAACUUCUACGGAAGGCAGCAGUAGGGAAUCUUGCACAAUGGGCGAAAGCCUGAUGCAGCAACGCCGCGUGAAGGAUGAAGGCCUUCGGGUUGUAAACUUCUGUUCUAAGGGAAGAAAGAAAUGACGGUACCUUAGGAGCAAGCCCCGGCUAACUACGUGCCAGCAGCCGCGGUAAUACGUAGGGGGCAAGCGUUAUCCGGAAUUAUUGGGCGUAAAGAGUGCGUAGGUGGUUACCUAAGCGCAGGGUUUAAAUUAGAGGCUCAACCUCUACAUGCCUUGCGAACUGGGCUACUUGAGUGCAGGAGGGGAAAGCGGAAUUCCUAGUGUAGCGGUGAAGUGCGUAGAUAUUAGGAGGAACACCGGCGGCGAAGGCGGCUUUCUGGACUGUAACUGACACUGAGGCACGAAAGCGUGGGUAGCAAACAGG